CUCCACGCCUUCAGCUGUAACAUUGUUGAACCAAGUCUUUAUGUCUCUAUGGCUGCACAGAGAAUCUUUUCUGCCCUCACCACUUUCAGUGAACUUGAAAUAUCUUUCAGCUGGUGUAAAAACAAUCGACUCUGAAUUAGAACGGUAAAGAAGUGAAAAGCUUGGAUAAGAUGAUGCAUUAACGAGUGAGGGAUGAAUUCUGGGAAAGCGGCGAAAGAGAAAAAGAAAACGCAAAGUGAUCAACGGGAUCUUAUGAGCAACACUCUGGUAUCUGCAGAUAAGGAGUUAAGGCAGUUUGGAGUUAUGGAAUUGCACAACUCCAGCCUUGAUGAAUAUGACAAGUUAUCUCCUGGUCCUUCUCACUCUGUUCUCCGUUCCCCUUCUUCUCCUCCUCCACGAUCAAAAGAUCUCAGAGUGACUUUUCAACAGGAACGUUCAAACAGCUUUCCAAAGACAAUGCCUUUCUGUAGGAUUUUAAAACAAAACGCAUCUCCUUUAUUAUCAAGAUCUGAUCAGCAGUCAGUACUCACUCGUACACAGAGUACACCAGAGAUCAGAUCUUUAUAUUUGGACUCUGAGCCUACAGAAGGAACUAAUAAACCCUGGGAUAAGAAUUUUAGGGAUGCUGUGUUGUCAUGGACCUCAAUGAAUCACCCUUUGGCUGAAACACACACAGAGCUGGAAUCACAUACUGACAGACUGCUUCGCCUUACCAGGGACUUGUAUGAAUCGACCCACCUACCUGAUGCUGCCAUACAAUUUUUCGAGAUGAGGCAAGAGGAAAGAUCACCAGUUCAUAGACUCUGCAUGAAUUCCUUAUCACAGCCAGACAAACAGGAGACCCAGCAGACUUCUAAACAACGGCUAAAAACCAAGGAACAGUUGAUCGUUCCAGAAGCCCAGGGAAGCUCUUUGUCUGGUCCAGCUGUCCAGCCCUGUGGUCCUGAUGUGUGCGCUGUGUUGAGGACUCUUCUGGACCUGGUGGACGAGCACUGGAAUGGACAAAACUCUCUCCACCUCAAUCUCAACUUUAUGGCAAAAGCCAUCCUCCUUCUAUUACCUCUAACUAACCCGGUUCCACCAUCCCAAUCUGAGGACAAGUAUAUAAGAGGACGUAAGGAUGAGCAGAAAGGAAAGCGGGAGAGCAGAGAAUGGUGGGAUGUGGAGAAAUCAAGGCAGGUAAAGAGCAUGUUGGGGAAUGAACAGGGUGGAAACGAGGAGUGCGAAAGCUGCGGAGAACACCGAUCAGCAAUCGAUGUCUCCAAAGUUAGACAGCUGAAGAGACAACUUGCCAAAACUCAACAUGAACAGGUCUUUGUAUUGCUUCUGUUUUUUUCUUUUUCUUUUCCAAAUCACAUUUUUAAGACUUACUUUCUGUGUUUCCGAAUAAACUUUAAAUACUUCUGUGUUGAAGGAGUCAUUGAAGACGAGACUGAUCUCGGCUUUAAAAGAGAACUUCGUUUUGCGAGCAGAGAAAAUGAAGAUAAUCACAAGUUUGGAAAAUGACACUACACUGUUGGACUUGGGAGUACAUUUGGACAGAGAAACAAAAGUUCUUCAACAGCAAGACAAACUCUUAAAGCAGUUGGAACGAACACUGCAUCUUCUACAGGACAAUCACAGAUCCUUGGUAUCCCGUAAUGACUUGCUGCAGAAUUUGAUCAAAAGAACCAGCAAAAUGCAGUGAAACAUUAUAAAUCUACUGAAUCGAUAUUGGUAAAAUAAACAGUUUGUAUAUUUAACUGUAUAUGUUUUUACUGGCCGAACUUCAAAUGUAUUUCUUUUUUGUUAUAGUUUGUCUUAUAUGCCUAAAUGAUUUAAAAUAGUAAAGGUGCUACUGUUCUCUAAUUCCUCUGUGUAUAUAAAUAUAUUAAAGCAGGUAGCAUUACAGUGAGUGACGAUUAAAUUGGAAUAACCAUCUUUACAAUAAACAAUAAAUAGUUAUCUUAAAAAAAAAAUACAUCUGAAGUGUUUAUGUGGGGUUUAUGAAUGUUCCACGUAGAACCCUACAACAGAGCAUGCCUCUUUGAUAAACUGAUCUAUGAUAGAUCAUAAUUAUGUGAUCAUUUCUAUGAAUGUGUAUUUCCUGUAUGAGCACAAGAAAUAUGGAGACCAUGACCAAAGACUUCAAACAUACGCGUUCGUACGUAAAAUUCGUAACA